GACGAACGCUGGCGGCGUGCUUAACACAUGCAAGUCGAACGGAAAGGCCCUGCUUUUGUGGGGUGCUCGAGUGGCGAACGGGUGAGUAACACGUGAGUAACCUGCCCUUGACUUUGGGAUAACUUCAGGAAACUGGGGCUAAUACCGGAUAGGAGCUCCUGCUGCAUGGUGGGGGUUGGAAAGUUUCGGCGGUUGGGGAUGGACUCGCGGCUUAUCAGCUUGUUGGUGGGGUAGUGGCUUACCAAGGCUUUGACGGGUAGCCGGCCUGAGAGGGUGACCGGCCACUGUGGGACUUAGAUACGGCCCAGACUGCUACGGGAGGCAGCAGUGAGGAAUAUUGCAGAAUGGGAGGAAACCUAAUGCAGCAACGCCGAGUGCGAGAUACAGGCCUUUGGGUGGGUGGCCGCUGGCGCCUGUGACGAAGCGUGAGUGACUGUAAUAAGUAAAGAAGCACCAGCUAACUACAUG
rnacentral:rRNA from 1 species